rnacentral:rRNA from 1 species
CCUACGGGUGGCAGCAGUGGGGAAUAUUGCACAAUGGGGGAAACCCUGAUGCAGCGACGCCGCGUGAGUGAAGAAGGAUCUCGGUACUGAAAGCUCUAUCUGCGGGGAAGAAAAUGACGGUACCUGACUCAGAAUCCCCGGCGAACUACGUGACAGCAGCGGCGGUAAUAAGGAGGGGGCAAGCGUUAUCCGGAUUUACGGGGUGUAAAGGGAGCGUAUACGGCAGCACAGGUCUGGAGUGAAACCCCGGGGCUUAACCCCCGAACUGCUGUGGAAACUGUGCGGCUGGAGUGGAGGAGGGGUAAGCGGAAUUCGUAGUGUAGCGGUGAAAUGCGUAGAUAUUAGGAAGAACACCGGUGGCGAAGGCGGCUUACUGGACUGUAACUGACGUUGAGGCUCGAAAGCGUGGGGAGCGAACAGGAUUAGAUACCCGAGUAGUC